rnacentral:rRNA from 1 species
GGCGCCUAAUACGUGUCAACUGUGACGUUACUCGCAGUAAGUAAGCACCGGCUAACUCCGUGCCAGCAGCCGCGGUAAUACGGAGGGUGCAAGCGUUAAUCGGAAUUACUGGGCGUAAAGCGCACGCAGGCGGUUGGAUAAGUUAGAUGUGAAAGCCCCGGGCUCAACCUGGGAAUUGCAUUUAAAACUGUCCAGCUAGAGUCUUGUAGAGGGGGGUAGAAUUCCAGGUGUAGCGGUGAAAUGCGUAGAGAUCUGGAGGAAUACCGGUGGCGAAGGCGGCCCCCUGGACAAAGACUGACGCUCAGGUGCGAAAGGGGUGGGGAGCAAACAGGAUUAGAUACCCUGGUAGUCUAC